ACCAAUAAAAACAACCCAAGACCCAAAUGAGAUGAACAUAGGAUUGACAAAGGAUUGUGAUAUCAGACUGCGACCAAGUGCCGAAAGAGUUCAAGGAAAAAGAAACUUAACAUCCCCAUCUUCAGUGAAAAAAGAACUUUUUUGAUGAACAAUUUUGUUGUCAGUCUGGGGUGAGAGUUAAUGAUCAGGCUGCUGAUGUUUACAGGAGAUUUUGUGUUUCGUCAAACCGGAAGAUUCCCAUUUUUACAGCUCCUGCCAAGAGACCUUUGAUUGUACGUCUUCUUA